rnacentral:rRNA from 1 species
UACGUAGGGUGCAAGCGUUGUCCGGAAUUAUUGGGCGUAAAGAGCUCGUAGGUGGCUUGUUGCGUCUGCCGUGAAAGCCCGUGGCUUAACUACGGGUCUGCGGUGGAUACGGGCAGGCUAGAGGCUGGUAGGGGCAAGCGGAAUUCCUGGUGUAGCGGUGAAAUGCGCAGAUAUCAGGAGGAACACCGGUGGCGAAGGCGGCUUGCUGGGCCAGUUCUGACGCUGAGGAGCGAAAGCGUGGGGAGCGAACAGG